rnacentral:rRNA from 1 species
AGCGUGGAGACAGGUGGUGCAUGGCUGUCGUCAGCUCGUGUCGUGAGAUGUUGGGUUAAGUCCCGCAACGAGCGCGACCCUCACCCCUUGUUGCUACCAGGUAAAGCUGGGCACUCUAGGGGAACUGCCCCGGUCAACGGGGAGGAAGGCGGGGAUGACGUCAAGUCAUCAUGCCCCUUACGUCCUGGGCUACACACGUGCUACAAUGGCCGGUACAAAGGGAUGCCACACCGCGAGGUAGAGCUAAACCCAAAAAGCCGGUCUAAGUUCAGAUUGGAGUCUGCAACUCGACUCCAUGAAGGAGGAAUCGCUAGUAAUCGCGUAUCAGCACGACGCGGUGAAUACGUUCCCGGGCCUUGUACACACCGCCCGUCACACCACGAAAGCCAGCUGUACUCGAAGUCGCUGAG